AUUGAACGCUGGCGGCAUGCUUUACACAUGCAAGUCGAACGGUAACAGGUUAAGCUGACGAGUGGCGAACGGGUGAGUAAUGCAUCGGAACGUGCCCGAUCGUGGGGGAUAACGCAGCGAAAGCUGCGCUAAUACCGCAUGCGAUCUGAGGAUGAAAGCGGGGGACCGUAAGGCCUCGCGCGGUCGGAGCGGCCGAUGUCAGAUUAGGUAGUUGGUGGGGUAAAGGCUCACCAAGCCAACGAUCUGUAGCUGGUCUGAGAGGACGACCAGCCACACUGGGACUGAGACACGGCCCAGACUCCUACGGGAGGCAGCAGUGGGGAAUUUUGGACAAUGGGCGAAAGCCUGAUCCAGCAAUGCCGCGCGCAGGAAGAAGGCUUUCGGGUUGUAAACUGCUUUUGUACGGAGCGAAAAGGCUCUCUCUAAUACAGGGGGCUCAUGACGGUACCGUAAGAAUAAGCACCGGCUAACUACGUGCCAGCAGCCGCGGUAA
rnacentral:rRNA from 1 species